AUAUGGAGUGCUUCCAUGAAGUUCCCCAAAUCAUGCAUGUGAAUGUUCCAGAAAAAAAAAAAAAAAAUGUAGUCACAAUACAGUGGCUGUGCUAACAAUUUAAUGGUAGGAGCCAGUGACCUGCCAUGUCAUGUUUCCUAGUUGAGUUCACAGCCACAGUCUAAAGCAGCAUAAAAUGACUCAUCUGUAGUAGCAGAAACAGGGAAGCUUUGCCACAGUUUUUAGCACGGUGAUCUACUGCCAGAGGUGAGAGGAUUGUUAGGCACAGCCUUGCCAGCACAACAGAGUGUUCCCAGGCAACAUCCUACCAAUGCCUGAUUGCAUUCUACAAACAUUGUCUUUUCCAGCUUAUGGGCCUCCCCAGCAAUUCAAACUAUUAAUAAUCAUCGUGUUUUUCUGGUGUUUUAUCCACCUCAUUUUAAACAAUUUAGUCACUCUACUUGUGUGCUUGCUGUAUGGUGUAAUUACUGAAGGUCACAGCAAAAGCCUGAAGCAGAAGCAGCAUCAAGCUCAACCAGUAAGGCCCCCAAUUGACAUCAGUUGACCUGCUUUUGUUGAAGUCAGUGAAGCCAGCAACAGUUGAAGGCUUUGCUCAUUUUCCCUAAUUAUUUCUGAUUUAAUCACUGCAACCUUUUAAGGACCACCACAGCUGGGAGCUGCACAAGAAAUGACAAUACUCUACCCAAACAAUGAGUGCAAUAACGUGCCAGAUGAAUUCAGGUGCUCUAAGUUCAGGCAAAGCAGAUGGUAUGAGUCUGAAAAGGAGAUGGAGACAAUUUGAAGAUUCACAGUUAAUCAGUGAGAAAGGAAAUAAUCUACAUCUGAGAGCUGAUUGUGGCCCAGUCCUGCACCUUUCCCUGGCAAUGAUCCAUGCAGGUGUCAAAGGAAAUCCUACCUGUACAGAGAGAAGCACAAGGCAUGCUUAUUAUUCAGUUAGAGGAACUGUCUUUUUUUUU
rnacentral:lncRNA from 1 species